UCUCCAGUUAGAGAGAGGGUUUGAGCUGGAGGAGAUGUCUGGGCUCUGGCUGGUGUCUGUUCAGCCUGUUCCUGCCAGGCAGAUUUCCAGGCUUGAAUGGCAGAAAGUGGUGAGCUGAGUCUUCCCUCGGUUGGCUCUACCUACAAUGUGGUGUAUGUGGCCUACUCUUCCACCAAAGAGGCACCCCUGCAUCAGAUCUGUGUGUGGUGUGGCAGAGAGGGGUGAAGGCCAUGGCUGAAAUGGCAGUCUGCUGAUCACUUGAAGCUCAGAGUUCUAUCAGACACCGAAGAGCUGGUGGUGUCUUCCAAAGCAGCAGAUGCCAUGGUCAACAGACAGUUAGAGGUGGUAGAUGUAACCAAGGAAGCUUUUCAGGACAGUGUGGAGGCUGCUAGAUGAAUGGUGACCAGUGGCAUGAACACAGUCAUGCAUGCCAGAAUGGGUCAGAUGGUUGUGAUGGGAGCACAAACCAUGCUGGGGAAAUCUGAAGAACUGGUGGAUCAUUAUCUCCCCAUCACAGAUGAACUAGCUAAACUGGCAACCUUUCUGGAGGGGACUGAAAUGGCUUCUAUGCAAGAGCAGCAGAAGCAUUUUGUGCAUCUGGGGUUUCUUUCCACUAAGCUCUGCUGGUGCACCUACUCUAG